rnacentral:rRNA from 1 species
GAUGAACGCUGGCGGCGUGCCUAAUACAUGCAAGUCGAGCGAACAGACGAGGAGCUUGCUCCUUUGACGUUAGCGGCGGACGGGUGAGUAACACGUAGGUAACCUACCUAUAAGACUGGGAUAACUUCGGGAAACCGGAGCUUAUACCGGAUAAUAUUUCGAACCGCAUGGUUCGAUAGUGAAAGAUGGCUUUGCUAUCACUUAUAGAUGGACCUGCGCCGUAUUAGCUAGUUGGUAAGGUAACGGCUUACCAAGGCAACGAUACGUAGCCGACCUGAGAGGGUGAUCGGCCACACUGGAACUGAGACACGGUCCAGACUCCUACGGGAGGCAGCAGUAGGGAAUCUUCCGCAAUGGGCGAAAGCCUGACGGAGCAACGCCGCGUGAGUGAUGAAGGUCUUCGGAUCGUAAAACUCUGUUAUUAGGGAAGAACAAACGUGUAAGUAACUGUGCACGUCUUGACGGUACCUAAUCAGAAAGCCACGGCUAACUACGUG